CUCCAGAUGUUGCAAAAGUACAACUCCCAGCAUGCCCGGACAGCCAUCGGCCGUUGCCUUGAGGACGACGCACAGGGACGUUCAUGCACAACUUCCCUGUGCAUCGUCGUCAAGGCAACGUCACUAGUCCGGGGUCGGGCCCGAAGCGCGGAGAAGAGGCCCCCCCAGUGAAAAUGGACAGCCCGCAACGACUAAUCCUCCCCACUGUAUGGUCCCCGCAGCAUAGAUGGCCUGGACCAGCUCACCCUAACUUCCUGCCGAGGGGAGUUCUCCAAUUUGAGGAGGCAACAUACUACAGCUCUGAAGAACCGGGUCAAGCGAUGAAAACUAUUUUUCUGGUCUCCAUAUUUCCAGUCACUGUGUUCCAUCAUCUAUAGAUUGAACAAAGAGGUCAGACGGCAUCUGGAGAGGAUGAGAAUGCGCUGACAUAGUGAAGAGACGUCUGGGCGUCACAUUCUACAGACAGAAGUUUUAGCUGGAACAAGUCCUGGCGGAAGGAGCAGGGGAACGGCGAGCAUGAAAUCCCUAUGUAUGCCAGGAACGCUUAUUCAUCACUUGACUACUACACUCUUCACAUCACUUGGGAACAUAUUUCUACAAUCAAGGAACCAGUGGCAUACCCCAGCUAUGUGAUCUCACGAAUGCUAAGUAUAGCCUAUUGGCCUAUUGCAAAGAUGGGAACGUGGAUGCCAAGAUACAACCAACAUGGUGAGAGCGGACCGGAACAUCGCCACCCGUCAGGAUUUUCCCAUCGGGUGACACAGGACCGGGAUUGCCAGUACAGAACGGGUCCCAGCUCUGGAUGGCAGAUGCCCCUGUGAAUCAGGUGUAUCUCCACCCCCACGAUGCGCUGGCAUGACCAGCAGAUGGCGCUAUACAUUAGAAAAGAAUAAUACACGGCUGUGCGGGACUGUUCGGAUCCGAGAUGGCGAUUCUAAAAUGUUUUCGCAGGAUGCGCAUGCGCAAGUUCCCUGUAGUGGUUUGCAUGGAGAGCACGUCAUUUCCUGUCUGGGACCGUAAACAGUAUAUGUGCGGCCGCACUGGCGUCCCUAGAUACACAAUGGAAAAGCAUGCAAGCCGCUAACCCCCCUCCUCCUGUGACGUAGAGGUACACAUCUUUAUCACUGACACCUCUAUUCAUUAUAUUAAAUUUGCACUUAUGGACUAUAAUUUGUUUGAUAAAGUUUUUUGCGCACUAAUUUUCGCAUCGCGCAGACCUUGGAGAGUGAUGCAUUGUUUUGAUUUUGGUUUGUGACAUGCGAUCCUAUGUUUUUGUCACUAUUAUGUCUGUUUAUUAACUCUAAUUGUAACACUAAUUGUUAACCACCUGUAAGAUAUAUAUGCUGUGCACCUUGUACAGCUCACUGCUUGACAAAGGCCGUGUGAGACGGCUGAAACGUCGCAUUUGUGAUGUCUGGUGAA